ACGUUCACUCCUGCGGGAGGCAGCAGUGGGGAAUAUUGGACAAUGGGCGCAAGCCUGAUCCAGCCAUGCCGCGUGAGUGAUGAAGGCCCUAGGGUUGUAAAGCUCUUUCACUGGUGAAGAUAAUGACGGUAACCGGAGAAGAAGCCACGGCUAACUUCGUGCCAGCAGCCGCGGUAAUACGAAGGGGGCUAGCGUUGUUCGGAUUUACUGGGCGUAAAGCGCACGUAGGCGGACUAUUAAGUCAGGGGUGAAAUCCCGGGGCUCAACCCCGGAACUGCCUUUGAUACUGGUAGUCUUGAGUUCGAGAGAGGUGAGUGGAAUUCCGAGUGUAGAGGUGAAAUUCGUAGAUAUUCGGAGGAACACCAGUGGCGAAGGCGGCUCACUGGCUCGAUACUGACGCUGAGGUGCGAAAGCGUGGGGAGCAAACAGGAUUAGAAACCCUGGUAGUCCCA
rnacentral:rRNA from 1 species